rnacentral:rRNA from 1 species
AGAGUUUGAUCAUGGCUCAGGAUGAACGCUGGCGGCGUGCCUAAUACAUGCAAGUCGAGCGAAUGGAUUGAGAGCUUGCUCUCAAGAAGUUAGCGGCGGACGGGUGAGUAACACGUGGGUAACCUGCCCAUAAGACUGGGAUAACUCCGGGAAACCGGGGCUAAUACCGGAUAAUAUUUUGAACUGCAUGGUUCGAAAUUGAAAGGCGGCUUCGGCUGUCACUUAUGGAUGGACCCGCGUCGCAUUAACUAGUUGGUGAGGUAACGGCUCACCAAGGCAACGAUGCGUAGCCGACCUGAGAGGGUGAUCGGCCACACUGGGACUGAGACACGGCCCAGACUCCUACGGGAGGCAGCAGUAGGGAAUCUUCCGCAAUGGACGAAAGUCUGACGGAGCAACGCCGCGUGAGUGAUGAAGGCUUUCGGGUCGUAAAACUCUGUUGUUAGGGAAGAACAAGUGCUAGUUGAAUAAGCUGGCACCUUGACGGUACCUAACCAGAAAGCCACGGCUAACUACGUGCCAGCAGCCGCGGUA